UACGGAAGGCAGCAGUGGGGAAUAUUGCACAAUGGACGCAAGCCUGAUGCAGCCAUGCCGCGUGUAUGAAAAAGGCCUUCGGGUUGUAAAGUACUUUCAGUCGUGAGGAAGGUGUUAAGGUUAAUAACCUUAGCAAUUGACGUUAGCGACAGAAGAAGCACCGGCUAACUCCGUGCCAGCAGCCGCGGUAAUACGGAGGGUGCGAGCGUUAAUCGGAAUUACUGGGCGUAAAGGGCACGCAGGCGGUUAAUUAAGUUGGAUGUGAAAUCCCCGGGCUUAACCUGGGAAUGGCAUUCAAGACUGGUUAGCUAGAGUCUUGUAGAGGGGGGUAGAAUUCCAUGUGUAGCGGUGAAAUGCGUAGAGAUGUGGAGGAAUACCGGUGGCGAAGGCGGCCCCUGGACAAAGACUGACGCUCAUGUGCGAAAGCGUGGGGAGCAAACAGGGAUUAGAUACC
rnacentral:rRNA from 1 species